UACGAAGGGUGCAAGCGUUAAUCGGAAUUACUGGGCGUAAAGCGUGCGUAGGCGGUGACUUAAGUCUGCUGUGAAAUCCCCGGGCUCAACCUGGGAAUGGCAGUGGAUACUGGGUCGCUAGAGUGUGAUAGAGGAUGGUGGAAUUCCCGGUGUAGCGGUGAAAUGCGUAGAGAUCGGGAGGAACAUCAGUGGCGAAGGCGGCCAUCUGGAUCAACACUGACGCUGAGGCACGAAAGCGUGGGGAG
rnacentral:rRNA from 1 species